GGCCCCUUUUGGGGGGGCUUGCUGAAGAAGCCAUGCUGAGGGGACGAGGCUGAGGGCUCUGCUCCUGGCCCGGCCUGGCCUUCCUUCAAGCCUCCGCCCCCACAACCUCCCUCUUCUGCCUCAGACCAAAGGGGACGCGCACAGGACGAGGCCCGGCAAGGCGAAGACCCCCGUGCGCUGCAGCCCCCCAAGCCUGAAGACGGGAAGGGCUUGCAGAGACCCCGACAGCAGGACUGAGCUGAAGUUUUUAAAAGUCUCUGGGUCCUCUUGAUAGUUUUCUUCGAGAUGCCCCUUCAUCUCCAAAUUUGGAUAUUCCAAACGACACAACAUUUCU
rnacentral:lncRNA from 1 species